rnacentral:rRNA from 1 species
UACGUAGGUGGCAAGCGUUGUCCGGAUUUACUGGGCGUAAAGCGCACGCAGGCGGACCUUUAAGUAGGAAGUGAAAGGUUGGAGCCUAACUCUAACACUGCUCCCUAUACUGGAGGUCUUGAGUGCCGGAGAGGAAGAUGGAACUACACGUGUAGCGGUGAAAUGCGUUGAUAUGUGUAGGAACACCAAUGGCGAAAGCAAUCUUCUGGACGGAAACUGACGCUGAGGUGCGAAAGCUAAGGGAGCGAACAGG